CAGCAGCCACGGUAAUACGUAGGUGGCAAGCGUUGUCCGGAAUUAUUGGGCGUAAAGGGCUCGCAGGCGGUUUCUUAAGUCUGAUGUGAAAGCCCCCGGCUCAACCGGGGAGGGUCAUUGGAAACUGGGAAACUUGAGUGCAGAAGAGGAGAGUGGAAUUCCACGUGUAGCGGUGAAAUGCGUAGAGAUGUGGAGGAACACCAGUGGCGAAGGCGACUCUCUGGUCUGUAACCGGCGCUGAGGAGCGAAAGCGUGGGGAGCGAACAGGAUUAGAGACCCCAGUAGUCCCUGUCUCUUAUAC
rnacentral:rRNA from 1 species